CAUAUCGACGGCGGUGUUUGGCACCUCGAUGUCGGCUCAUCACAUCCUGGGGCUGAAGUAGGUCCCAAGGGUAUGGCUGUUCGCCAUUUAAAGUGGUACGCGAGCUGGGUUUAGAACGUCGUGAGACAGUUCGGUCCCUAUCUGCCGUGGGCGCUGGAGAAUUGAGGGGGGCUGCUCCUAGUACGAGAGGACCGGAGUGGACGCAUCACUGGUGUUCGGGUUGUCAUGCCAAUGGCACUGCCCGGUAGCUAAAUGCGGAAGAGAUAAGUGCUGAAAGCAUCUAAGCACGAAACUUGCCCCGAGAUGAGUUCUCCCUGAGACUAUAAGUCUCCUGAAGGAACGUUGAAGACGACGACGUUGAUAGGCCGGGUGUGUAAGCGCAGCGAUGCGUUGAGCUAACCGGUACUAAUGAACCGUGAGGCUUAACCUUAC
rnacentral:rRNA from 1 species